rnacentral:lncRNA from 1 species
GCUGGGAUUCUUUAUUCAAAAUCAUUAACACUCUUAAUACAUUUUGUGUGUCAUCUAUUUCUUAACACAAUAACAAAGCAAACAUAAUUAGGUUACAUGGGAGGUUGUUGAGUGUGUAGCUUUCUUCUCAAUUUAUUAAUUGCGACAACUACAGUGACAUAGAUCCUAUCAUCCAUGUUGCUUAGAAAACGGAAAUAAGCAUGUCUCCAAGAUGCAACAAAUAUUAAGGAGCCCCAAAAUGCCCAAAAUCCUGUAGAAA